rnacentral:rRNA from 1 species
GACGAACGCUGGCGGCGUGCUUAACACAUGCAAGUCGAACGAUGAAGCCGGAGCUUGCUCUGGUGAAUUAGUGGCGAACGGGUGAGUAACACGUGAGUAACCUGCCCUUGACUCUGGGAUAACUGCGGGAAACUGUAGCUAAUACCGGAUACGACCCUCGGAGGCAUCUCCUGGGGGUGGAAAGAAUUUCGGGCAAGGAUGGACCCGCGGCCUAUCAGCUAGUUGGUGAGGGAGCGGCUAACCAAGGCGACGACGGGUAGCCGGCCUGAGAGGGUGACCGGCCACACUGGGACUGAGACACGGCCCAGACUCCUACGGGAGGCAGCAGUGGGGAAUAUUGCACAAUGGGCGCAAGCCUGAUGCAGCAACGCCGCGUGAGGGAUGACGGCCUUCGGGUUGUAAACCUCUUUUAGUAGGGAAGAAGCGAAAGUGACGGUACCUGCAGAAAAAGCACCGGCUAACUACGUGCCAGCCGCCGCGGUAA